UACGGAGGGUGCGAGCGUUGUCCGGAAUCAUUGGGCGUAAAGGGCGCGUAGGUGGCCCGGUCAGCGUGCGGUGAAAGCUCGGGGCUCAACCCCGAGUCGGCCGUGCGAACUGCUGGGCUGGAGCACUGUAGAGGCAGGCGGAAUUCCGGGUGUAGCGGUGGAAUGCGUAGAGAUCCGGAAGAACACCGGUGGCGAAGGCGGCCUGCUGGGCAGUGUCUGACACUGAGGCGCGACAUCGUGGGGAGCAAACAGG
rnacentral:rRNA from 1 species